AGAGUUUGAUCCUGGCUCAGGACGAACGCUGGCGGCGGGCUUAACACAUGCAAGUCGAACGAGAAGCUCCGAGCUUGCUUGGAGUGGAAAGUGGCGCACGGGUGAGUAACACGUAGGCAACCUGCCCCUGAGAGUGGGAUAACCAUGGGAAACUAUGGCUAAUACCGCAUAUUGUCUUUUGAACACAUGUUCUUUAGAUGAAAAUUCCGGUGCUCAGGGAUGGGCCUGCGGCAGAUUAGUUUGUUGGUGAGGUAACGGCUCACCAAGACUACGAUCUGUAGCUGGUCUGAGAGGAUGAUCAGCCACACUGGCACUGAGACACGGGCCAGACUCCUACGGGAGGCAGCAGUGAGGAAUAUUGCGCAAUGGGGGAAACCCUGACGCAGCCACGCCGCGUGGAGGAAGACACCCCUAUGGGGCGUAAACUCCUUUUAUAUGAGAAGAAGGCCCUAGUCGCUAGGGUUUGACGGUAUCAUAUGAAUAAGCACCGGCUAACUCCGUGCCAGCAGCCGCGGUAAUACGGAGGGUGCAAGCGUUGUCCGGAUUCACUGGGUGUAAAGGGUGUGUAGGUGGAGCAGCAAGUCAGUGGUGAAAGCCUGCGGCUUAACCGCAG
rnacentral:rRNA from 1 species